UAGUCUAGAUUUCUGCUAUACAUCCGGGUACUCACUGGGAAAAAACAAUAACAAAGGCAACAACCAGUCCCGGGGAAUUGCGUUAGAUCAGUGCCCCUGUCAGCUGACCCACCUAUGCCUCCAGAGAUAUAAGCUUAAGGCUCAUCUUCAUCUUUAAUAGUCUACUCACCAACAAACCUCUCCAGGAGGUGACCAGUUAACACACCCAUAUGCAUUCUUUGGAGAAUUCUCAGUUGAACUUCCUUCACAUUGAUCCGUGUCUGAACCUGACGAGUUCCUUUUACUGGUCUGCUGUUUAAAUUGUCAUUUCGGUUGACAAACUGCAUCCCAAGUGAGUCAUACCCUGUCCCAACAACAACAUUCUUCAUCUUAUCUCGGAGGCUUUUAGGAUACAUGUACACAACACUCUCAUCAAUGGCACCAAACUGUUUCUUUGUUGGACGGUGGAUAACUUCAGCGACUUGAUCCACAACAUCUCUGACAACGCGCAGUCUAAUACGUCCCGUUAAACGCUGAGUGUUCCUUAAACAUGCUGAAAUAUCCCUGGGUAGACGUUCCCAUUGUAUAUGAAAUUUAGUUUGGAGCUCUAUUUCCGACUUCAAUAAGGAUCGGACUUGGGGAUGGUGAUGAGCCAGUUGAGGAUGAUGCACUACUUGGUGGACUGAGUGCUGUAACUAAUUGUAAGACUUACAAACGUGGAACGGGAUGAAAUUGCUUGACAUCUUGAUGGUGAUUGUGACAAUAUGUUUAGACUUUUGUGAACUGAAAAUGUUGAUGAGCUACAGAAACUUGUUCCUGGAAGUUGUGGUGUAUCUUGACUUGUAUUGAUUGAGGGGACAUUUGAUCUAUCGAAUUCGGUGCACAAAAUACUGCAAAUAAAACAGACAAAUAAUAAAUAAUAAAUAAAUCUAAUGGUUAAAGGACAUUGUAAGUACAGGUACCGACUGUGCACAAUAGAACCAACUGCAUAUGGUCAAUACUGGAUCUUAGGUACAGUUCAAAAUUGGCGAGAGUGAAAUACAGACCAAGAAGUUUAUGUUUCCUUUUGUCUGAACCAAGUGGGUUGACAACCUCACUAUCAAGAACAAAGCCACACAAAAUGACAUUACACCGCUGAAAUGCAGGGAUAUGAAUUGCUUUGGGUUUUGACUGUUUUGUGAUUUGUAAUUAUGUGCUAAUGAAGACAAAAUGAGGGAACAAGCAAAUCAUUUUCAUAUCCCUACAUUAUUUGUUUGAACAUUUAAGUCGGUACCUGUAGGGCAGAUGCAACCGAUCUUUUUUAUUCUUUCAAACUUCGACGCCGCGAGUGCGUGCGUGCGUGUGUGUGUGUGCUAUCCGAAAAAUAAAUGUCAAAAUUAAAAUAUUGGCGUCCGCGUUCCAGAUAAACGUUUUAUGGUACCCAGAGAAGGCUCGACAUCCAGCGUACCAAAGGGGGGUUGGCUCUUUCAUCAAUGAUAUUUGGAUCAAUCCUAGAUUCCCCUGGAAUAUAUUGGGGAUGUUAUUCCACAAUUCCAGCCACAGGAUCAUCGAAAUUAAGCACAAUGGACCUAUGCAACCAAGUCUUCAUAUAUAGUAUCAUAUGUGUCUUUCACAAUCAGAUUCUUCAAAUAUGCGAAUAAAAAAGGGCGCCGUAUUAAAGUGGCGGAUACCAAUGUCCGUCGACUGAACACUGACUAGAAAAUAGAGUAUUGUCCCCUAUAAGGGUGGUUUAAGUGAAUGUGUUUUUUUUUCUAUACUGAACCGCAAAAGAAAUGUCACCAUGGAUAGAUAUAUGAUAUAAAUCGGGACUGACGGUAGGCCACUGCAUAGUUUUGAUGCCAUUCUGCUGGAGAAAGUCUCUUGUUGCUUUCGCAGUGUGGGCAUGGGUGUUAUCAUGCUGAAACUUGUGGUUGCGGCGACGUGCCAAAUGAGGUAUGGCGUGUGGCCUCAAGACUUGAUCAAUGUACCGAGCUGCUGUGACACCAUUGCCUUCCCUGGACCAAUGUUCUGGUAGACCACAGCGCCGACCCUCUGUGCAAGACCAAUUCCACCCUACACCAUGAUCCACGGACCACCCCACUAGUCUCCCUCAACAACACAAGCAUCCGAAUAACGUUCCCCACAGCGUCGCCAGACUCUUUCUCUGCCCUAUUCUGUUGAGAUACAGUAACGGUUCUCGUCUGAGAAGAGGACUCUUCUCCACUGCUGGUGGCGCCAAUGCUGGUGCUGUGUUGCCCACUGAAGACGAUCCCGGCGAUGACGUGGUGUCAGAAUGGGUCCUCGGUGUGGCCUGUGUCUGCUCGUCAAUCGUCGAUGCACUGUGUCUGCACUAACGUGUCGCUGGUGUGUACCCAUGGUCUGUCGUGCAGUUUCCGCAGCAGUAACAAAGCGAUCUUGAAGAUGCUGUCGCACAAUCUGGGUGGUGAAUCUUGGUCUUCCACAACGUGGUCGGUCAUCUGUAGUGCUGGUGGUCUGGUACCAUUGCUGGGGCCUGUAUUUGGUCCUUACGUGGACUUGAAAUGCAUUGGCUACUUGCCGGGCGGUUUGUCCAGCUUGCAAUCGUCCAAGGGCUUGGUGUCGCUGAUUUCUUGUCAAUCUUGGCAUGUGGCAGCAAUUCAAUAACGAAUGAAUGUUCUCAGAUCUGGGUGGAUCUUUAUAGGACAAGAAAAGGGGGAACGCAUGGGCAUUUCAAUUUUCACGGAGCUCACGUGCAUCGGGUUACCACGGCCGCGUUUGGGCGAUCGGCUUUAUUGUUAUCUGCUUUGUUUUUUAAUCAUCAAAUUUCAUUUUCCGGACAAGGUUAGGUUAAAUUUUAGAAACUUUAAUAAAAAAUACCCAGAUAUUUAAAUGACAACUUUUUAUGCAAAAAGGCGUGACGUUUCUUUUGCGGUUCAGUAUAUUAAGUUGCAAUUGUGCAUAAUAAUACAAAUUUGGCUUUUUCAGUCAUUGUACCUAAUGUUGUAUGUAUUGUUGUCCUGUGCUACAACAUACUAUGUUUGGUUUUCAAUCUUUAUUUAUUGGGGCCUGUAGUACAGAUUACAUGGAUAGUGUAGUAGUAUUAAUAAAUCCUUUAUCAUACAUUUUCGAUAAUUGAUUGCAUGAAAUUCAUUUGAUGUCACACGCUUUUUAACACGUUAAUAUUUUCAGAAGACAUUAGUACUGUAAACUUAAAAAUGUUUGGUGGCUGGUACAUAUCUUGCGAUACAUAUUCAAUACGCAAAUGAUCAUGUACUGGACACACAAAGAAAUGAUGGUACUCAUCUUCUACUUCCUGCUUAUUGCACAAUUUGCAAACUCAAUAUGUUCUUUUAAUAUACUUGUGUAUCUCCCUUGUUCAAUGUUAAGAGUAUGCGAUGAGCAUAUUAUUCGAGAAAAGUAUAUUCUAUUUUAAGGCAAAAGAGGUUUCAAAAGAUAUUCUUCGGUUUUAAAUUGAAUUUUAAACAUCACAUAAUAUUUACAUUUUGGUGAUAAUAAUAGUACCGUUGCUGUAUAUACACAUCUGUUAGUCUUUCAGAGUAUUGUUCCUUCUGUCUUUGCCAUAAAAAGCCAAAACCAAAUUCAUUAAUAGUUUUCUUAACAGUAGAGACCCAAUGUACCGUUCCAGAACUCACCCGACAGGGACACGACAGGUGAGACAUAUCGCCAUUGACGCUGAGUACACACCUCACACGUUGUUUUCUGAUACACCGCUGCGUGUAUCAAUCAGUCGGUAUGGUCUUGCUUAUGUAGCAGGGUUCCUUUAUCAUAUUCUUCCUAGUUACAUCAUUAUUCAUACAUCAUCAUCUAUAUGUUCAAUGAUUGUCUUGUCUACAGUUGAAUGUCAGUACAUGUAUAUAACUCUUUAAACAACUCAACACCCUCAUUUUCAGUCUCUGGGAAUCUCUCAUCAGAUCUUCCCCUUCAACCUUCUGUCUAUCUUUAGACAUUUUUUCACACCUGUAGGGUUUCCCUCAGUCUAUUUAUAUCUUGCAUUAAGCACUUCCUUUGAUGCUUAAUGCAAUCUGUCUUCUGAUUGGCCACCCUGGUCCUCUACAGGUAGCUUCCUUCGAUACCUGACUUCCUCCUCACUUCGUGUGCUGCUGUUGAGGAGGAAGGAUAUUUUCUUUUCUUCAGGUAUGGAAUGGUCUUUUUUCAAUCUGUUUUCAUCUGCUUCUGUCAGAAAUUAAUAUCUAUAUUAGGGUGCUGAGUUAAAUUGAAUAACAUAUAUAAUAUCAUUUAAAGUAAUUUUAAAUUAGUAAAUGGAUAAUUAAUAGUAUAAAACUUGUUUGUAAAAUAAUUAACCACAUGGUCCAUUUUGGCCCAUGUGCAUUUCAAGUGUCCUAAAGUCUGAUAGUAGUAAUUAAACAUUAAAGUUUCAUAAUAGUUUUAAAAGGGCUUUUGUACUGAUAUAUUUAAGAUAAAUAAUACCUGUAAAUUUGCAAAUAUAUGACUUCAUGUGCUGCUGUUGAGGAGGAAGGAUAUUUUCUUUUCUUCAGAUAGUUCAACAGCAGCCACCCCCAUUGUAAUAAACACAUUAUCAUCAUC
rnacentral:misc_RNA from 1 species